CAAACACACGUAUUCACAAAUCUAAAACAAAUAUAUAACACAAUAUUGCCUUUUCCAACUCUUUGAUUUUAUAUUUUUCAUUUAGCACACACUUACGCCCAGCCUAACCAUCUUAACACUAACCUUUUCAAAGCUUUCCCAGCUUCCUAAGAUUCCUAAGAAUCCCCGAAAAUCAAGAAGAAAGAAAGAAACAUACUAGUCGUAAUAUCAAAAGUUAAAUUCAAACGAAUUUAAGCAUAAAAACAAUCAAAUUACUUUACCACGAAAAAAAAAAACUGAACGAAACUAAACACUGGUGUCUGGCGACUGUCACACAGCGCGGUGACUGUACGUACUCUUGACUGACAGAUGUCAGCGGAUGCUGUUCUCUGUCGAAUUUUAACGAAAGCACGCCAUGCACUCUAGACUCUACUCUAGGCCUUAAUUGAUUUUAGCAUUAUUUCAAGACACCAUACACUCCACACACGACACGAUACGAUAUGACACGACACGACAUGCAUUAAGAAGAACCUACAGGGAUUUUAUGGUAGAAAAAAAAACAUACAUGAAACCAAAUAAUUAUAUUAUAUUAAUACCAAAAAGAGCGAAUGUUGAGCGACUGCUGCUCUGCAGAAUAGUUAAAUUUGUUUAGUUUUUAAUAUAUCGAUUUGCAAAGAGAUAAGCAAUUUUUAAUUAACAAAUACGAGGAGAGAAAUGUAGGAGUAUGAAGAAUGGAAUGCGGGUCUAGGGUAACCAUGGAUGCCUCUUAGUGUAACGGUUUCUGUUGUAGCGCCUCUACCUACAAAAAGUCUUAGUUUCCUUUGCCUCUAGGGAUCGACCCACAGAGAUCCCGAUGCAAGCCAAAGAGUGUAUAAGAGCAAUAAACCCAAAACAUAAGGAACGAAAUGAAUGCUAGACAAGUGCAUUGUUACUAACCAUUUACCCCAUAAAUAAAUACCUAUCUAUAUACAAUAAACACACAUACACACCAGACAACAUACUAUACAUACUAUACAUAAUGUAUAAUGCCUUCGAUAAGGAUAAGGAACGAUUAAGGACUAAGGAUUAAGGAGAAUGGAUUAAGGAGCCAAUCCCAAGCAAAUCACCCACUUAAAUCGCUUUAAUGCCAACCACAAAUCAAAAACAAAAGCUUAUUGACUACUUUUAAAUGCAGUUUACAUUCUAUUGUACUACGAUGCAAGUAUAUUCUACAUAUAUGUACAUCCUAUACCUAUACCAAAAGCCUACAUCUACAUCUACACCUACACCUAGCUAUAGAUCAUACGAAUAGUUUGUAAAUCAGGAUAUCAGGGCGGUGGCGAUGGCGGUGGACAGAAAAGAGUUGAACAUUUCGCUGGAAUUAACCUUAACCUAUAUACAAUACACAAUACCUACAAUAUAUAUAAUGAAGGAUAAAACUGAAGAAUGGUUUAUAGUAUAUAUUUUAAAUCUGAAAGUUGAAUGAAUCACAAAUACCCUGUAAUACUUAAGCUAGACAAACUGUAAAGAUAAAAUGGUGCUUUAGCUGAAUUAUUAAUAAUUGUAAGACUUACCUUGGAGGGGGAGCUUCGGUCAGUAGUUGCCCCUCGCUCAUUGGAUGGAUGGAUUCUUUUUAAAUUACAUUUUUUAGCCUCUUUUUAUUCAAACAUACCCAAUCAUCUAUUGGAUGUGACGUGUUUUUAGCUCAAGCUUUGAAUUUUCAGAUACAACAUACAAAAACAUACAGGCAACAAUCACACACUCACACACACACUCGAAACUCGAACACUUGCAUACAUAUUCGUGAAACAAUUUUAAAUAUCUAUCUAAAUUUACGAUACUUUUUACUCACCAAAGAAGAAAAGGAACAACUUUUAAUGGAACAUUUUAAGGCUAUUUCGGCCAGAAGCAAUUGGCGCACUCAAUCUCGAUCGAUCGGCGACGACAAUAUUAAUGAAGCUGAAGCGAAGCCGGAGGGAGACAGCCUGUACAUUAAGUUAAGCCAGCAAAAGCUGGCAUGCUAAAGGCACACUAAAACAGAAAAGAGAGCAUACAUAUACUGUACUACAUACAUGACAUGUAUCGGAACCUAACAGCAAACACACAAUAAAAUGAAGUAACAGAUAAUAAAGGACACACAGACCGAGAA
rnacentral:sRNA from 1 species